rnacentral:rRNA from 1 species
AACGAACGCUGGCGGCAUGCCUAACACAUGCAAGUCGAACGAGACCUUCGGGUCUAGUGGCGCACGGGUGCGUAACGCGUGGGAACCUGCCCUUAGGUUCGGAAUAACUCCCCGAAAGGGGUGCUAAUACCGGAUAAUGUCUUCGGACCAAAGAUUUAUCGCCUUUGGAUGGGCCCGCGUUGGAUUAGCUAGUUGGUAGGGUAAAAGCCUACCAAGGCGACGAUCCAUAGCUGGUCUGAGAGGAUGAUCAGCCACACUGGGACUGGGACACGGCCCAGACUCCUACGGGAGGCAGCAGUGGGGAAUAUUGGAAAAUGGGCGGAAGCCUGAUCCAGCAAUGCCGCGUGAGUGAUGAAGGCCUUAGGGUUGUAAAGCUCUUUUACCCGGGAUGAUAAUGACAGUACCGGGAGAAUAAGCCCCGGCUAACUCCGUG